AUUGAACGCUGGCGGCAUGCUUUACACAUGCAAGUCGAACGGUAACAGGCCUUCGGGUGCUGACGAGUGGCGAACGGGUGAGUAAUGCAUCGGAACGUACCCAGAGGUGGGGGAUAACGCAGCGAAAGCUGUGCUAAUACCGCAUGUGAUCUGAGGAUGAAAGCGGGGGACCGAGCAGCAAUGUUUGGCCUCGCGCCUUUGGAGCGGCCGAUGUCGGAUUAGCUAGUUGGUGGGGUAAAGGCCUACCAAGGCGACGAUCCGUAGCUGGUCUGAGAGGACGACCAGCCACACUGGGACUGAGACACGGCCCAGACUCCUACGGGAGGCAGCAGUGGGGAAUUUUGGACUAUGGGCGCAAGCCUGAUCCAGCAAUGCCGCGUGCGGGAAGAAGGCCUUCGGGUUGUAAACCGCUUUUGGCAGGAACGAAACGGUGUCCGCUAAUACCGGGCGCUAAUGACGGUACCUGCAGAAUAAGCACCGGCUAACUACGUG
rnacentral:rRNA from 1 species